AAAUUUUACCACGUUUAGAUAAGUCCAAUAUAAGUAUUAGUACCAAGUUUCAGGUCUCUACGUGUAUUUAUAACCAAAUUACAGCAAAAAAAUUUCUUAAAAACUCAAAAGUUUUGGCGAUGAUACCGUAAGAAAUUAAAUCAAAAAGGCAACAAAAAAGUUAUCUUUUGAUUUUUCGAUUAAAUUAUUCAAUAAUCAUAAAACUCCCAAAAAUUAAAAUUCCUUAAAAGGUGGCUCAAAACUUUUGAUG